rnacentral:rRNA from 1 species
UGGGGAAUUUUGGACAAUGGGCGAAAGCCUGAUCCAGCAAUGCCGCGUGUGUGAAGAAGGCCUUCGGGUUGUAAAGCACUUUUGUCCGGAAAGAAAUCCUUGGCUCUAAUACAGUCGGGGGAUGACGGUACCGGAAGAAUAAGCACCGGCUAACUACGUGCCAGCAGCCGCGGUAAUACGUAGGGUGCAAGCGUUAAUCGGAAUUACUGGGCGUAAAGCGUGCGCAGGCGGUUUGCUAAGACCGAUGUGAAAUCCCCGGGCUCAACCUGGGAACUGCAUUGGUGACUGGGCAGGCUAGAGUAUGGCAGAGGGGGGUAGAAUUCCACGUGUAGCAGUGAAAUGCGUAGAGAUGUGGAGGAAUACCGAUGGCGAAGGCAGCCCCCUGGGCCAAAUACUGACGCUCAUGCACGAAAGCGUGGGGGAGCAAAACAGGAUUAGAUACCCUGGUAGUCCACGCCCUAAACGAUGUCAACUAGUUGUUGGGGAUUCAUUUCCUUAGUAACGUAGCUAACGCGUGAAGUUGACCGCCUGGGGAGUACGGUCGCAAGAUUAAAACUCAAAUGAAUUGACGGGGUCAUAGCUGUUUCCU